UCUUGAGAUCUCAACGGCGGCGUGUCCCAAGAACCGAUGCUGCACCAACCGCACGCGUCACAAGGAGGGCGAGUGUGGUUGCUGUCGGAGCAGUGAACACUGCGCUUGGCGCUGGACCAGCGGGGGCUGGGUGGGCCGCGACGCUUGAUUGGGUCGUUUCCAACUGCCCCGACGUCGGCAGCGAUGAGACGGUGCGCCAGCAGACAUGACCGUUUGCGCGCAAGGACCCCAUGAAUCCCGUGUACGCGGCCAAGGUGACCACGCCGCUUGCAGCUCCAUCUGGGCUAUCCUCACUAUUAUCGUCGCUUUCGGCUGGUGCCAGUGUCGAUGACAUAAUUUAUCAAUGGUGGGUUCAAUAGUAACUCAAAUCUGUUUCUUUGAAUGUGCCAGCGUGUGAUGGAAUUUAUCAUUGCUGCUAAGCUCUCUUUACUUUGGGAACUGUUUACCGGCAUCUCAAUCCCGACCUAGCAGGUCUGCUUACUGGCAUCAACAGGAUAUUCUGCAAUCCAUAAGAACUGGCUACUCAGAAGUGGAUGACAGUGAACAGGAGAAGCUAUGGUUUCCUGAUUUGUUGUUAUGUGUACGUGUUGUCAUGAAGCAUAGGGGUUCUGGCUUUGUGUAAAAUCAUUAUAAGUAUAGUACCUCUUUAGAGGAGUUUAACGCUGAACUAUGUAUGUGAUUCAUGUACCUGAAGUAUCCACUAUGAUGCCUAUUGCUGAAAACAAUAUAACUAUUUAUUGAUAAUA